UGCCAUCUUACGAGAUUUAAACUGAUGAUCUAUAAUCCGGAAAAAUCGAUAAUCCGGAAUCGCCGAAGUCCCGACGAGUCUAACGACUUUUGACUGUAUUUGAGAACCAGCAUGAGAGUUCUUCUGGUGUUCUGUUAUAAUCAACCUUUUGACAGCCUGAUGUUCUCCCGAAUGUGUCUCAUUGGAUGAGGCUACGAAUACGAACCAGUUUUCAUUUGAAAGAUUUUCAGCAGAUACCAGAAAGGCUACCUUAACUAAUUAAUUAACUAACCAAUAAGUGACAUGCUGUUGAAAUUAUGCCACUGUGUAUAGAUCCAAGUGAAUAAUAGCUAAUGUAAACAAACAAGACAUGAUCUCGGAGAUCAUGUGAUUUGUGUAUAGCUAACAUAAAUAAAAAAGGUCAUUCUUCUCUUGUGGAAUGCAUCUCACUGGAA
rnacentral:lncRNA from 1 species